CCAUUCAAAGGAGGCAGCAGGCGCGCAAUUACCCAAUCCUGACUCAGGGAGGUAGUGACAAGAAAUAACAAUAAACCGGCUUAUGCCGGUUUAAUUGGAAUGAGUACAAUUUAAACAUCUUAACGAGGAACAAUUGGAGGGCAAGUCUGGUGCCAGCAGCCGCGGUAAUUCCAGCUCCAAUAGCGUAUACUAAAGUUGUUGCAGUUAAAAAGCUCGUAGUUGGAUUUCUGUGGGGACGGAGCGGCCGGCCGCACAUCGCGGUUCGAGCUAGCGCUUUCCCUACAUCCUGCCGCGAACCGUGCUACCAUUAGUUUGGUGGCGCCGGGGAUCGGCUCGAUUACUUUGAGAAAAAUAGAGUGUUCAAAGCAGGCCACAUGCCUUGAAUAAGUUAGCAUGGAAUAAUAACUAAGGACUUCGGUUCUAUUUUGUUGGUGUUCGGGACUGAAGUAAUGAUUGAUAGGGACAGUUGGGGCGGUCUGUAUUCCAAAGCGAGAGGUGAAAUUCUUAGACCUUCGGAAGACAAACAGCUGCGAAAGCGUUCCGCAAGGAUGUUCCCUUUGAUCAAGAACGAAAGUUGGGGGAGCGAAGACGAUCAGAUACCGUCGUAGUCUCAACUAUAAACUAUACCAGCUAGGGAUCGGCCAACGUUAUUUCAAACCGACUUGGUCGGCACCUUAUGAGAAAUCAAAGCAUCUGGGUUCCGGGGGGAGUAUGGUCGCAAGGCUGAAACUUAAAGGAAUUGACGGAAGGGCACCACCAGCCGUGGAGCCUGUGGCUUAAUUUGACUCAACACGGGAAAACUUACCAGGUCCAGACAUAGUAAGGAUUGACAGAUUGAUAGCUCUUUCUUGAUUCUGUGGGUGGUGGUGCAUGGCCGUUCUUAGUUGGUGGAGUGAUUUGUCUGGUUAAUUCCGUUAACGAACGAGACCCCAGCCUGCUAAAUAGCGCGCGUGAGCUUUGCUCGCGGCGAGCUUCUUAGAGGGACUAUGAUGCGCGAUAGCACAUGGAAGUUUGGGGCAAUAACAGGUCUGUGAUGCCCUUAGAUGUUCUGGGCCGCACACGGGCUACACUGGCGCCUGCAACGAGCAUAUCAGCUGGUCCGAGAGGAUCUUGGCUAAUCUUUUGAACCGGCGCCGUGCUUGGGAUUGACCUUUGCAAUUGUUGGUCAUGCAACGAGGAAUGCCUUGUAAACGCGAGUCAUCAGCUCGCAUUGAAUACGUCCCUGCCCUUUGUACACACCGCCCGUCGCUCCUACCGAUGAAUGUUCCGAUGAAAUUUUCGGAGAGUGCCUGUGAACUUGGCUCUGCCUUGCGAACGGGAAGCUCAAAGUCACUUAAAUCUGAACCUUA
rnacentral:rRNA from 1 species